rnacentral:rRNA from 1 species
AGCAGCCGCGGUAAUUCCAGCUCCAAUAGCGUAUAUUAAAGUUGUUGCAGUUAAAAGGCUCGUAGUUGAAUUUCGGGAUCAAUAUAUCGGUCGUGCCUUGGUACGUACUGGUAUCAUUGGUUUCUCCUUUCUGACGAACCAUGAUGUCAUUAAUUUGGUGUUAUGGGAAGUUAGGACUGUUACUUUGAAAAAAUUAGAGUGUUUAAAGCAGGCUUUAGCUUGAAUACAUUAGCAUGGAAUAAUGAAAUAGGACGUUCGAACCUAUUUUGUUGGUUUCUAGGAUCAACGUAAUGAUUAAUAGGGAUAGUUGGGGGCAUUAGUAUUCAAUUGUCAGAGGUGAAAUUCUUGGAUUUAUUGAAGACUAACUACUGCGAAAGCAUUUGCCAAGGAUGUUCUCAUUAAUCAAGAACGAAAGUUAGGGGACCGAAGACGAUCAGAUACCGUCGUAGUCUUAACCAUAACUAUGCCGACUAGGGAUCGGAUGAUGUAAUUUUUAAUGACUCAUUCGGCGCCUUACGGG